GUCAAGAUGUCCGAGUGGUUAAGGAGUUUGACUCGAAUUUUCUCAUCCCCUGAUGAAUCAAACGAUAUCAAAUGGUUUCGGCCGCGCAGGUUCGAGUCCUGUUCUUGACG